rnacentral:rRNA from 1 species
AUAUCAAUAAGCGGAGGAAAAGAAACCAACAGGGAUUGCCUCAGUAACGGCGAGUGAAGCGGCAACAGCUCAAAUUUGAAAUCUGGCUCCCUCGGGGUCCGAGUUGUAAUUUGUAGAGGGUGUUUCGGGCGAGGCGCCGGUCUAAGUCCCUUGGAACGGGGCGUCAGAGAGGGUGAGAAUCCCGUACGCGACCGGUGACCGAGUCCAUGUGAAACCCCUUCGACGAGUCGAGUUGUUUGGGAAUGCAGCUCAAAAUGGGUGGUAAAUUCCAUCUAAAGCUAAAUACCGGCCAGAGACCGAUAGCGCACAAGUAGAGUGAUCGAAAGAUGAAAAGCACUUUGGAAAGAGAGUCAAACAGUACGUGAAAUUGUUGAAAGGGAAGCGCUUGCAACCAGACCUGCCCGCGGGCGAUCAACCGUCCUUCUGGGCGGCGUACUCGCCCGCGAUCAGGCCAGCAUCGGUUCGGGCGGUCGGAUAAAGGCCUUGGGAACGUAGCCCACUUCGGUGUGGGUGUUAUAGCCCUCGGUGCAAUGCGGCCCGCCCGGACCGAGGACCGCGCUUCGGCUAGGAUGCUGGCGUAAUGGUUGUCAGCGGCCCGUCUUGAAACACGGACCAAGGAGUCUAACAUCUAUGCGAGUGUUUGGGUGUCAAACCCAUGCGCGCAAUGAAAGUGAACGGAGGUGGGAACCCUUCGCGGGGCGCACCAUCGACCGAUCCAGAUGUCUUCGGAUGGAUUUGAGUACGAGCAUAGCUGUUGGGACCCGAAAGAUGGUGAACUAUGCCUAAAUAGGGUGAAGCCAGAGGAAACUCUGGUGGAGGCUCGCAGCGGUUCUGACGUGCAAAUCGAUCGUCAAAUUCGGGCAUAGGGGCGAAAGACUAAUCGAACCAUCUAGUAGCUGGUUCCAGCCGAAGUUUCCCUCAGGAUAGCAGUAACGUUUUCAGUUUUAUGAGGUAAAGCGAAUGAUUAGAGGCCUUGGGGAUGUAACAUCCUUAACCUAUUCUCAAACUUUAAAUAUGUAAGAAGUCCUUGUUACUUAGUUGAACGUGGACAUUUGAAUGCACCGUUACUAGUGGGCCAUUUUUGGUAAGCAGAACUGGCGAUGCGGGAUGAACCGAACGUGAGGUUAAGGUGCCGGAAUGCACGCUCAUCAGACACCACAAAAGAUGUCAGUUCAUCUAGACAGCCGGACGGUGGCCAUGGAAGUCGGAAUCCGCUAAGGAGUGUGUAACAACUCACCGGCCGAAUGAACUGGCUCUGAAAAUGGAUGGCGCUCAAGCGUGCUACCUAUACCUCGCCGCCAGGGUAGAAACGAUGCCCUGGCGAGUAGGCUGGCGUGGAGGUCCGUGACGAAGCCUUGGGGGUGACCCCGGGUCGAACGGCCUCUAGUGC